UACGGAGGGUGCGAGCGUUGUCCGGAAUCACUGGGCGUAAAGGGCGCGUAGGCGGCUUGGGAAGUCCGUGGUGAAAGCUCGUGGCUCAACUGCGAGUCGGCCAUGGAUACUCCUAAGCUCGAGCACUGUAGAGGCAGGUGGAAUUCCGGGUGUAGUGGUGGAAUGCGUAGAGAUCCGGAAGAACACCGGUGGCGAAGGCGGCCUGCUGGGCAGUAGCUGACGCUGAGGCGCGACAGCGUGGGGAGCAAACAGG
rnacentral:rRNA from 1 species